GACGAACGCUGGCGGCGUGCCUAAUACAUGCAAGUUGAGCGCUGAAGGUUGGUACUUGUACCAACUGGAUGAGCAGCGAACGGGUGAGUAACGCGUGGGGAAUCUGCCUUUGAGCGGGGGACAACAUUUGGAAACGAAUGCUAAUACCGCAUAAAAACUUUAAACACAAGUUUUAAGUUUGAAAGAUGCAAUUGCAUCACUCAAAGAUGAUCCCGCGUUGUAUUAGCUAGUUGGUGAGGUAAAGGCUCACCAAGGCGAUGAUACAUAGCCGACCUGAGAGGGUGGUUAGCCGCCCUGGGACUGAGACACGGCCCAAACUCCUUCGGGAAGCAGCCGUACGGAAUCUUCGGCCAUGGGCGGAAGUCUGACCGAGCAACGCCGCGUGAGUGAAGAAGGUUUUCGGAUCGUAAAACUCUGUUGGUAGAGAAGAACGUUGGUGAGAGUGGAAAGCUCAUCAAGUGACGGUAACUACCCAGAAAGGGACGGCUAACUACGUG
rnacentral:rRNA from 1 species